rnacentral:rRNA from 1 species
UACGUAGGAGGCAAGCGUUGUCCGGAAUUACUGGGCGUAAAGCGCGUGUAGGUGGUGGGACAAGUCUGCUGUGAAAGCCCCGGGCUUAACCUGGGAAUUGCGGUUGAAACUACAGGGCUAGAAUCUGGCAGAGGGGGGUGGAAUUCCACGUGUAGCAGUGAAAUGCGUAGAGAUGUGGAGGAACACCGAUGGCGAAGGCAGCCCCCUGGGCUGAGAUUGACGCUCAGGCACGAAAGCGUGGGGAGCAAACAGG